UCCAUCUGUGUGCUGGUGAACAAGUUAAUUAAGAUCUAAAUGUGUUGUCCCAGAUCCAGAUGGGUUGGUUUUGAGUUAUUGUUUGGGUUAGAAAAUUUUCAAACCAUGCAUCUGUUAACAUUUAGAGAAAACUACAUGUGUUUAUUUUGGGUUGUAGUUCAGAGAGCACUUCCAUGUUGCCGUGAAUGCUGGGUGCUGUUCUGACAUGCUUAUUUGUCUCAUUUUGCUUUGUUCUUUUUUACUUAUAUGGUGAUCUCCUUUUUCCUUAUGUUAGCAGUGAGUUGUUUCUGUUUUUCUGGUUUUCCAUUGCUCCUAAAAUGUACAUCGAAAUCAGUGUGGCUGUAUUCAGAGAGAUGAGCUACUAUGUAGACAUUAUUUGUUUUUGUUAUGUACUUGGUUACUUAAUAAUCAUUCUUGAUAUUGAAAAGGGACAGAAAUAAGCUGAGUAUUGGACCUGACUGAGUAGUGUUUGCUGGUUAACACAUCUAUGUUACUGGACUUGUUCUUUUUUCUUCCCACGGUUUGUCAUCUAAAAUGAAUUAACCUCGGAAGAGGAUUACUCUUCCUCGUUCUGGGCUAGGAAUUCGUUGCUAUGUGAUGCAUCGUUUGGUCCUACUCCAGUGUUGUUUUGCCUUCUUUGACUCAGCUCAUGUUGCGUUUGGCUUGGAGACUACUGAAAUGAAAAUGUGUUGGGGCGAUUAUGUGUUGCAGAUAUUAAUAGCACAUGCUCUUUUGAGGGAAAUGGGGAUGGCACUAUAUUUUGGUCUUCUGCCCAGAAAUCUUUAGACAUUACUCUGUUCCAUACACUAAGAAGUUUGAAGCGUGCUGGUUGCCACUCACGCUGCUGCUCUGCUUGGAGGCGUCGUCGUCGACUGGAGGAGCGCCGAAUCGUUGUCCUCGAGUUCGUGCACUUCAGGAAGAACACGGCUCGAGGUGAGACGUCACGCAUCCGUCGUGCGGAGGUAGAGCAGCUCUAGAGGGACCAAGGUCGAGGUAGACACUGCUCCUAUCGAGGCUAGCCUGCCGUAGGGACGAAUCAGGUCCCUAGACCCUUAUGAGCCCUAAUUUUCAUGGAGCAAGGUGCAUCUUGCCGCUUUUGCUUUUGGUAAAAAGGAAUCCCUAUUGUUAUGUUGGUAGCCUCUUUGCAAGUUUAUUCUGCCUUUUUGACAUUUUUUGUUCUAUCUUGCUAUGCAUUGUAUCAUAUUACAGUUGUGUGCUCAAACCAACUGAGCUUAAUUCACAUAUAUAGAUAUUUAAGAAUGUGGGGAUGAUGCCCAAUUGGCAAGGUUUGCAAUAUUGUAGGAACCAUUUGGAGAUGGGUUGUAGAUAUUAAGCUAUGUAGGAGAUGAUUUUGAGUAAAUGAAGCCCAUAGGUGGAGGGAUUUGGAUGAUCUGUAGUCAAAGGAUACCAUCAAGCAAGCGGACGCACAAGGAGGGUCGCCCCGGAGUAGAGGUAGAGGACGUUGCCAGCUGCAUCUCUCUCUGACCUAAAGCCCACCUUGGCAUGGAUGUGAUCAGCGUUGAUCCCCAACAUUGGCAAGCAUUUGUGUUCAAGUUGAUCUGGAACAAUUUGAAGGGUUUCCUCGACACAAAAUCUUAAGCCAAGGUUUACUUAAGCACCUCGAAUUAAACGUAUAGAAGUUUAAAAUUGUAAUGUUUCAGGUUCUUUGCCACAUUAUGUAUGUUUUGUUAUUUUUUUAAUAAUUGGACCUAUUUGCUAUGUGGAACAUGUAGCAUUUACUUGAUCAUAAUCUAAUUCAAUUUUUGACCACCGUCUUUUUGGCUCUUGGUUUCAACAUUUGCAGUAUCGGUUAGUCAUUGUCUUGACACGACAUUUUAUGCAACGACUCCAACUUCUUGAGCCAUUCUCUAUAUAUGAAUGAGCCUCGCCGUUAAAUAAACGAACAAUGUUUCCUCCAUAUAUGAAUGACACAAUGACACUAUGGAUUUUCCAGUCAACUGAUCAUCCUAAUCCUCAUCC